rnacentral:rRNA from 1 species
AUUGAACGCUGGCGGCAUGCCUUACACAUGCAAGUCGAACGGCAGCACGGGUGCUUGCACCUGGUGGCGAGUGGCGAACGGGUGAGUAAUACAUCGGAACAUGUCCUGUAGUGGGGGAUAGCCCGGCGAAAGCCGGAUUAAUACCGCAUAUGAUCUACGGAUGAAAGCGGGGGACCUUCGGGCCUCGCGCUAUAGGGUUGGCCGAUGGCUGAUUAGCUAGUUGGUGGGGUAAAGGCCUACCAAGGCGACGAUCAGUAGCUGGUCUGAGAGGACGACCAGCCACACUGGGACUGAGACACGGCCCAGACUCCUACGGGAGGCAGCAGUGGGGAAUUUUGGACAAAGGGCGAAAGCCUGAUCCAGCAAUGCCGCGUGUGUGAAGAAGGCCUUCGGGUUGUAAAGCACUUUUGUCCGGAAAGAAAUCCUUGGCCCUAAUACGGUCGGGGGAUGACGGUACCGGAAGAAUAAGCACCGGCUAACUACGUG